UACAGAGGUCUCGAGCGUUAGGCGGAAUCACUGGGCUUAAAGCGUGUGUAGGCGGAUCGGUAAGUACCUUGUGAAAUCCCACAGCUCAACUGUGGAACUGCUUGGUAUACUGCCAGUCUUGAGCCAGCUAGGGGCUACCGGAACAAAUGGUGGAGCGGUGAAAUGCGUAGAUAUCAUUUGGAACGCCAAUGGUGAAAACAGGUAGCUGGGGCUGUGCUGACGCUGAGACACGAAAGCCAGGGGAGCGAACGGG
rnacentral:rRNA from 1 species